CAGCCUCAGGCCUCAGGGAGCAGAAUCAGGGCAUCUCCACCAUGGCCAAGAUCCCUCUCCUCCUUUGCCUCCUCACUUACUGCACAGGUGC
rnacentral:pre_miRNA from 1 species